GUCUACGGCCAUACCACCCUGAACGCGCCUGAUCGCGUCUGAUCUUGGAAGCUAAGCAGGGUCGGGCCUGGUUAGUACUUGGAGGGGAAACAUUGUUUCUGUCCUCU
rnacentral:rRNA from 1 species